UAUGACCAUGUCACAUUGAAACACUAGUUCUCAUAUGAUCACCAAUGUUAAGCAACAUCAAGCCUGGUCAGUACUGAGAUAGGUGACCACUUGGGAAUACCAGCUGCUGUAAG